rnacentral:rRNA from 1 species
UACGUAGGCAGCAAGCGUUGUUCGGAAUUACUGGGCGUAAAGAGUGUGUAGGCGGUGCUCUAAGUUCGGUGUGAAAUCUCCCGGCUUAACUGGGAGGGUGCGCCGGAAACUGGAGUGCUCGAGCGUGGGAGAGGAAAGCGGAAUUCCUGGUGUAGCGGUGAAAUGCGUAGAUAUCAGGAGGAACACCAAUGGCGAAGGCAGCACUCUGGGACGUGACUGACGCUGAGACGCGAAAGCGUGGGGAGCAAACAGG